AUGCUGAGGCCGAUGCUGGCGUGCUGCAAGCUCUACGUCUCCGAGGGCCGGAGCGCGGCGGCCCUGCGCGCCGUCGAGCAGGCGGCGCGCCGGCACCACCCGGCCGUAGUCCUCGUCAACACCUUCGCCGACGACGCCUACAACCGGGUCGGCUACACGCUCGUCUCCCGCCUCCCGGACCCCGUCGCGCCCGCCGCGCCGCUGCGGCGCGCCGUGUUCGGCAUGGUCGAGGCCGCGCUCGGGGCCAUCGACCUCGGCGCCCACGCCGGCGCGCACCCGCGGCUCGGCGCCGUCGACCACGUCUGCUUCCACCCCCUCGCCGGGGCCGCCCUCCGCGACGUCGCAGCGCUCGCCGCCGCCGUGGCCGCUGACAUCGGCGACGGGCUCCGAGUGCCGACGUACCUCUACGGCGCGGCGCACCGGGAGGGCCGGAAGCUGGCGGCCAUCAGGAGGCAGCUAGGCUACUUCAAGCCCCAGAGCAGCGCCGAGUGGCACGGGCCGCUCCCGGUCGCGGCCGACACGACGGCGCUGCCAGUCGCGCCCGACGCCGGCCCGGACGCGGCGUCGGCGUCCAAGGGCGUGCUGGUGCUCGGGGCGACGGCCUGGGUGGACAACUACAACGUCCCGGUGCGCACCGCCGACGUGGAGGCCGUGCGGCGGGUCGCGCGCCGGGUCAGCGAGCGCGGCGGCGGGCUCCGGUCCGUGCAGGCGAUGGGGCUCGCGCACGGCGACGGCGGCGCCGAGGUCGCGUGCAACCUGCUCGACCUCGGGAGCGUGGGCGCCGAGGAGGUGCAGGGCAUGGUGGAGCGGCUCGCGGGUGAGGAAGGGCUCGCCGUCGGCGAGGGGUACUUCACGGAUUUCUCCCAGGAGAAGAUCGUCGAGCUCUACAUGGAGAAAUCAGCUCAGGCUGAGGCUUAA
rnacentral:rRNA from 1 species